UACGUAGGUGGCAAGCGUUAUCCGGAUUUAUUGGGUUUAAAGGGUGCGCAGGCGGCGUGUCAAGUCAGCGGUAAAAUGUCGGGGCUCAACCCCGGCCGGCCGUUGAAACUGGCGUGCUCGAGUUGGAGAGAAGUAUGCGGAAUUCGUGGUGUUGCGGUGAAAUGCAUAGAUAUCACGAAGAACCCCGAUUGCGAAGGCAGCAUACCGGCUCCACACUGACGCUGAGGCACGAAAGCGUGGGUAUCGAACAGG
rnacentral:rRNA from 1 species